AGAGGCCGACAAUGAUCGCGUUUUUAAGUGCCUUCUUGAAGCGCUGAAGGGUCUGGUGAAAUGUCUUGUAAAAAAAGACCUCACUGAGGACAACAGCAAUGAUAACAAUAACUGGGACCAUAGUUCCGUAAAUGAUGAUGAAAGUAAACCAGGAAAAUGCAUCCUCGAAGCCAUAAAAACUUUUGUGAAGUGUAUGACUGGACCAAGUGUGGGCACAGCUAUGACAGAAAAACUAUCCGGAUUGGAGGAUAUUAUGAGCCAAUGGCAGAUCUAUAAAGACUACGUCGAUAACAUGAGAAAUAGAAGAGAUUUUCUGUACUAGAUAGCACCCUUCUAAUAGAGAAAUUCAGAUUACGGAUUAAAAAGAUUGAAAUGACGCAAUAUUUUCUAGUGACAGAGAAAAAUAUCUGUAAUAUAUUAAAAAUUUUACAUAUUGAAAAAUUAAAUUGUGUAUUUAAUUUUGAAUUUUUGAUUUGAAAAAUAUGGAUAAAAUAAG